UGCCUUUCGUAGGUACCUCCCCCUCUCCAUCGGGAAGGCGGACGAGCAGUCAAAGCUUGAAGAUCACCGAACGACCAAAAUUACAGGCAAUCGAACAACCAAGAGUAAAGAAGACAAGCGAAGAACGCAGUUCAAGCAUCGGAAAGCGGCAAAGCUACGUCAGAAAAGAUUAGUGUCUCGGUCCCAAAAAUAUUUACCGAAACAUUUUG
rnacentral:lncRNA from 1 species